rnacentral:other from 1 species
GAACUUCUGGUGUGCACGACAACUCUUGUAAUUUUGAACCUACAUUUAUUUUUAUGGGGAACUGAUAUUUAUAAGCGGAUGUCGGGCCGGCAUUGACCGGAUGGCAGAUUCUUAUGUGAAGUAGCCCACCUAGCUUGGCUAGGACUCAAAAUGCAGGAAACGGCAUAAUCGGUUGUUCU